GAGCUCAUAGGACCACGGGCAGGCCCUACUUCAGCUGCUCACAACCAAAUGCCAUUUAGAUAUCAAGAGAAAGGGCUUUGGGACCUGUCAAGGCAGUCGUCUUUGUUGGUAGGACCCAGGUAGAGACCUGCUUCUCAACCACGGCUCUCUCCCCUGUAGCCCAUUCCACGUUCCGCGAUGCAGGCCUGGAGCUGUUUGGUGCGGUGUUGCUGUUCACCAAGAUUCUGUUGCCUUCUGUUUUUCUGCUAGCAUGCAUCCUUCAAUUUCAUUACUUUAAUGAAGACUUUCUGAAGACCACCAGCCUGCAUAAUAUUCCUAUUCAACAGAAAGGCACACCUGACAGGUAGCCUCCCUGAGGAUGCAGGCAGAGUACAUUGUGGAGAUCAGCAGAGAGCUGAGGCCAGAAGACCUCGCCCAACUCAGCCCUGUUCCCAACUUUAUUUUCUGCCAGUGAGAGCUGAGGUCCUGGUCCCAGGCCCCCGUGUGAGUGGGCAUAUUCCCUUUCAGCAUGGUAAGCCCAAGAACUGCUGCUUUUGGAUAAGACAUUAUGAUAAUUUUCUUUUUUAAUUUAAAAAAAUUAUAA
rnacentral:lncRNA from 13 species